GGGGAAUUAGCUCAAAUGGUAGAGCGCCCGCUUUGCAUGCGGGAGGUACCGGGAUCGAUGCCCAGAUUCUCCA
rnacentral:tRNA from 1 species